UAAAAAUGGAGUCCAGUCACCAAUAAAAAAAAACGGGGAGAAAUCGAAAAGCCUAAUGAGUAGAAAAAAU
rfam:Flavobacterium frigoris PS1 66_15, whole genome shotgun sequence.